rnacentral:rRNA from 1 species
GAUGAACGCUGGCGGCGUGCUUAACACAUGCAAGUCGAACGGAAAGGCCCAAGCUUGCUUGGGUACUCGAGUGGCGAACGGGUGAGUAACACGUGGGUGAUCUGCCCUGCACUUCGGGAUAAGCCUGGGAAACUGGGUCUAAUACCGGAUAGGACCACAUUUUGGAUGGUGUGGUGGAAAGUUUUUCGGUGUGGGAUGAGCUCGCGGCCUAUCAGCUUGUUGGUGGGGUAAUGGCCUACCAAGGCGUCGACGGGUAGCCGGCCUGAGAGGGUGUACGGCCACAUUGGGACUGGGAUACGGCCCAGACUCCUACGGGAGGCAGCAGGGGGGAAUAUUGCACAAUGGGCGCGAGCCUGAUGCAGCGACGCCGCGGGGGGGAGGACGGGCUUCGGGUUGUAAACUCCUUUCGCUAGGGACGAAGCGUUAUGUGACGGUACCUGGAGAAGAAGCACCGGCUAACUACGUG